rnacentral:rRNA from 1 species
UGCUCUUUUGCCGGCGAGCGGCGGACGGGUGAGUAAUGCCUGGGAAAUUGCCCAGUCGAGGGGGAUAACAGUUGGAAACGACUGCUAAUACCGCAUACGCCCUACGGGGGAAAGCAGGGGACCUUCGGGCCUUGCGCGAUUGGAUAUGCCCAGGUGGGAUUAGCUAGUUGGUGAGGUAAUGGCUCACCAAGGCGACGAUCCCUAGCUGGUCUGAGAGGAUGAUCAGCCACACUGGAACUGAGACACGGUCCAGACUCCUACGGGAGGCAGC